UGCCACCACCCCUGGGAGUGUCACCCUGGUGCCACCACCCCUUGGGGACCAUCCCCUGGUGCCACCACCCCUGGGAGUGUCACCCUGGUGCCACCACCCCUUGGGGACCAUCACCCUGGUGCCACCACCCCUGGGAGUGUCACCCUGGUGCCACCACCCCUUGGGGACCAUCACCCGGUGCCACCACCCCUGGGAGUGUCACC